UACAGCUCCCGUCCGAGCUGCCUUUGUUCUGCCGAGCUGCCUGCCCGCGCUCUCGUGAAAAGUCUGGUACUGGGGCUUCGAAUUGUAGUGUUUGGAAGACUGUUGAAGGUUGUGCUUUUGUGGAGCUGGAGUUCAUCGGAAGUUCUACAGUGCUUGCGCCAGAGAAACGUCGGUGCCUCUGUACCUGUUAGACGAAGGAGCGUUUGCCAAGUCUUGAAAGGUAGACAUCGGUGACGGUGUAUACGUUGAAAAGGGCCUGCUGAAGAGGCUGUGCCUGGAUGCUUACAACUCAGGCUUUCACUUCACGGAGGGCCUCCUUAAAGCUCCUCUUUCAAUAGAAGACGUUGAAGGGAGGUCCUUCUUUGGGCGGCUGUCAAAUGCCUUCCACAGAAGGAUCCGUUGGAUUCCAAGAAGGUCAACGCCAUAGUAGACUACACAACGCAACAUUUCAGCCUACUUCCAGGGCAGCUGGAGAACUCAUCCUCCUUACUAGCCCGGGGAUAUUAAAUGGAUGUGUUCAAGCACAAA
rnacentral:lncRNA from 1 species